rnacentral:rRNA from 1 species
CCGCUGGCGGCAGGCCUAACACAUGCAAGUCGAGCGGUAGCAGGCCCUUCGGGGUGCUGACGAGCGGCGGACGGGUGAGUAAUGCAUAGGAAUCUACCCGGUAGUGGGGGAUAACCUGGGGAAACCCAGGCUAAUACCGCAUACGUCCUACGGGAGAAAGCGGGGGCUCUUCGGACCUCGCGCUAUCGGAUGAGCCUAUGUCGGAUUAGCUGGUUGGUGAGGUAACGGCUCACCAAGGCGACGAUCCGUAGCUGGUCUGAGAGGAUGAUCAGCCACAUCGGGACUGAGACACGGCCCGAACUCCUACGGGAGGCAGCAGUGGGGAAUAUUGGACAAUGGGCGCAAGCCUGAUCCAGCCAUGCCGCGUGUGUGAAGAAGGCUUUCGGGUUGUAAAGCACUUUCAGUGAGGAAGAACGCCUCGCGGCCAAUACCCGCGAGGGGAGACAUCACUCACAGAAGAAGCACCGGCUAACUCCGUGCCAGCAGCCGGGGUGAUACGGAGGGUGCGAGCGUUAAUCGGAAUUACUGGGCGUAAAGCGCGCGUAGGCGGCCAAGUAAGCCGGUUGUGAAAGCCCCGGGCUCAACCUGGGAAUGGCAUCCGGAACUGUUUGGCUAGAGUGCAGGAGAGGAAGGUAGAAUUCCCGGUGUAGCGGUGAAAUGCGUAGAGAUCGGGAGGAAUACCAGUGGCGAAGGCGGCCUUCUGGACUGACACUGAC